AACAGAGAGUUCGAUCAUGGCUCAGAUUGAACGGCUGGCGGGAUGUUUACACAUGCAAGUCGAACGGCAGCACGGACUUCGGUCUGGUGGCGAGUGGCGAACGGUAGUAAUGUAUCGGAACGUGCCUAGUAGCGGGGGAUAACUACGCGAAAGUGCAGCGCAUUUACCGUACACAAUACCCCUUCUUCGGGGAAGUGAAUCUCUUCGGGCCUCGCACUAUUAGAGCGGCCGAUAUCGGAUUAGCUAGUUGGUGGGGUAACGGCUCACCAAGGUGCGACGAUCCGUAGCUAGUUGAGUACGACCAGCCACACUGGGACUGAGACACGGCCCAGACUCCUACGGAGGCAGCAGUGGGGAAUUUUGGACAAUGGGGAAACCCCUGAUCCAGCCGCCAUCCCGCGUGUGCGAUGAAGGCCUUCGGGUUGUAAAGCACUUUGGCAGGAGAAGAAACGGCACGGGAUAAUACUCCCGCAACCACGGUACCUUGCAGAAUAAGCACCGGCUAACUACGUGCCAGCAGCCGCGGUAAUACGUAGGUGCAAGCGUUAAUCGGAAUUACUGGGCGUAAAGCGUGCGCAGGCGGUUCGGAAAGAAAGAUGUGAAAUCCCAGAGCUUAACUUUGGAACUGCAUUUUUAACUACCGAGCUAGAGUGUGUCAGAGGGAGGUGGAAUUCCGCGUGUAGCAGUGAAAUGCGUAGAUAUGCGGGAGUGAACACCGAUGGCGAAGGCAGCCUCCUGGGAUAACACUGACGCCUGCGCACGAAAGCGGGAUGCAAACAGGAUUAGAUCCCUGGUAGUCCACGCCCUAAACGAUGUCAACUAUUGCUGGGGCCUUCGGGCCUUGGUAGCGCAGCUAACGCGUGAAGUUGACCGCCUGGGAGGCUGGUCGCAAGAUUAAACUCAAAGGAAUUGACGGGGACCCGCACAAGCGGUGGAUGAUGUGAUUAACGAUGCAACGCGGAAAACCUUACCUACCCUUGACAUGUCUGGAAUCCUGAAGAGAUCAAAGUGCUCGCAAGAGAACCGGAACACAGGUGUUGCAUGGCCAGCCGUCAGCUCGUGUCGUGAGAUGCUGGGUUAAGUCCCGCACGAGCGCAACCCUUGGUUGGCUAGUUGCUACGAAAGGGCACUCUAUCGAGACUGCCGGUGACAAACCGGAGAGGAAGGUGGGGAUGACGUCAAGUCCUCGCGGCCCUUAUGUGGUAGGGCUUCACACGUCAUACAAUGGUCGGGACAGAGUGGUCGCCAACCUGGCGAGAGGGGGAGCCAAUCCUGAAACCCGAUCGUAGUCCGGAUCGCAGUCUGCAACUCGACCGCGUGAAGUCGGAAUCGCCAGUAAUCGCGGAUCAGCAUGUCGCGGUGAAUACGUUCCUGGUCUUGUACACACCGCCCGUCACACCGGGGAGUGGGUUUUACCAGAAGUAGUUAGCCUAACCGUAAGGAGGGCGAUUACCACGGUAGGAUUCAUGACUGGGGUGAAGUCGUAACAAGGUAG
rnacentral:rRNA from 1 species